UUAAAUAAACAAAUUUUCUACUAAACGGUUCACACUUCGAUGAACAUUAAAUUCGUUUAGAACCUUACAAAAAACUUUAUCCAUAUAAUAUUUGCAUGCAUGCAUCUAUUAAUUCACUCAGAUUAUAGUAAAUUUGCCAACCAUUUCUUUUCUUGGCGGGGGAAGAGGGUGUUGAAAUUGGUCACACAAAACAUCUUAUUCUGAUUCAGACAUUUGAAACAUUAGUGGCAAGAAACCAACAUGGCUAUAGGUCGGAAGUCGAUUUUGUGAAGGCUUUGGGCCUUAAGGAUGUAAUGUUUAAACCUUUUGGAUGGAGAGAAUGAUGGUUGCGUGAUAUUAACCUUUUGAAUUGUGUUUCGGGCCGAAGGGUAAAUAAAGGGAAAAAUCAUAGGCCGGAGCCUUGUAUGAAAUAUGGAUUUUUGUUCAAUAAGUUUUUAGUCCAAUAUAUCUAGAUAAUAUUGUGGGGAUCUUCAAUACCUUUCCGUGGAUAUAAAGAACGCCAAAAUCGAAGUUGAAACGAAGAAGUUAUAGCAGUUUGAAUCUGGUCUUGGAGUGGAUUCGCGGGAGCAAGCAAUGUAGAAGAAGGGAUCGCAUCACAAUGUUUCAAAGUUCUUUGAUUCAGGUGAGUUUUCCUCACUGUACUCGUGGGUCAAAGGCACCAAUACCGACCUACUAGGAUGUGUAUCUUGGUAUAAAGGAUGUUGUUAUGUUGUAGUGAUACGUUAGAUCUGUGUCCUGGUAUAUAUGAUGUUACUAUGCGGUAGUGAUCUAUUGAUCUUCCUG